rnacentral:rRNA from 1 species
AUUGAACGCUGGCGGCAGGCCUAACACAUGCAAGUCGAGCGAGCGGCGGACGGGUGAGUAAUGUCUGGGAAACUGCCUGAUGGAGGGGGAUAACUACUGGAAACGGUAGCUAAUACCGCAUACCAUCAGAUGUGCCCAGAUGGGAUUAGUUAGUCGGUGGGGUAACGGCUCACCUUGGCGACGUUCCCUAGCUGGUCUGAGAGGAUGACCAGCCAGGCUGAGACAGAGACACGGUCCAGACUCCUACGGGAGGCAGCAGUGGGGAAUAUUGCACAAUGGGCGCAAGCCGGAUGCAGCCAUGCCGCGUGUGUGAAGAAGGCCUUCGGGUUGUAAAGCACUUUCAGCGGGGAGGCGUUACCCGCAGAAGAAGCACCGGCUAACUCCGUGCCAGCAGCCGCGGUAAUUC